AUUCUCCCAUUCUUUUUCUUCUUUCUCCUCUCUUCCACAUCUCUCCCUUUCCCCCUCUCUCUUUCUUUCUUUUUUCCCUAAGAAGCAGAAUUCAAUCAGCAUGACACUUGUAAUAUUUAAUAAGCUACCACCAGUGUCUCAUGAUGUUUCACUCAGGACACGUUUUAACAUAGUUUAAGUUGGUCCAUGCAGAGGGCUGGACUUCAGCCUCUUUUAGUUUCUCUUCUGAAAAUCCAGAAUCCCUUCAGUUUUAAAGUGCCAGCUGAAGCACUCUGAGGUUUAUCUCUACAUAAAUCUGAACUAUUGCCUCCCCUUUUCAGAGAGAAAGACAUGAAAAACAUCUUCAAAGAAAACCUUGAUUGUAGCUCACUCAUACAGGAAAGCUAUAAAUGGAAUCAAUCAAACUUCAAUUACCUUUAAAAAUAACAAAUAAAAAAAAAUAAAGGGAAAAAUAAAUUAAAAAAAGCCACAUCUAAGUCCAGACUUCUUGAUUUAUUUAUGCUUUCUGUCUCGGCCAACACUAGGGCAAGUCCCUCAAACCAGGAUACUCAGAAUAUAUGAAGAGGCAGCAAUAACUAUUAAAAAGACAUUUUUAGAAGAGUGACUCAAGUACAUUCAAGUACAAUCAAUCAGAAACACAUUGCAUGCAGUCCUUACCUGAGACACUUUCCAUGGAACUUUUUUACUAAAUUAUUAGCCUCUUUUGUAUAGAGAUAAGGCCUGAGAAAAUGUCUCCCUUCCUUUAUCAAUAAGGAUGAAUAUAUUUAGGACAUAGGCUAAACAUGGAUCACUCAAGGUAUGUUUGCCUGUUUGCUUUCCUUUACAGGAAUUUUGACAACAGGAAUGACAGUUAUCAAAACACUUCUUGCUGGCUUUAGUUGAAACUGCCUGGAAGCAAGGCUCUCUUCUCACAGUUUCUAUUUCAUCGCAAUUUUAUAGCGAGGACAAGAGAUAUUUAAAUACAGUUCUGACAGACACAAACACUGGUUCUAAGAAACAGUAAUGGCUGAACUUUGUUCACAAAGUUACUCAGAAGUUCCAAAGUUUACCUUGCCAGUAUUCACUGAAAUAAUCCAAGCUUCUUUUACAUGAAAUGUGAUAGAAGUAGAGAGAAAGGAAGAAGUUGUGUCUUCAUUUACAAAAGGCAGAUGUAUGGUCAUUCUUUUGAAUUUAAUGUAACUAUAUAAAUAUUUUUCUGUUGAAGGUACACUGAAAUAAUUCUAAAGAUGUUUUUUAAAUUUUAUUUUCAAUAAGAAUGAACAUUUUGGAAAUAAGUUUCAUUUGCUAGAAAACUUAGUCUAGAAAACUGAAUAUUUGAUUCUCUUUCCUCUCAUCUUUUAAGUACUUCCAACAUAUCUGGAUUGCUACUUGUCUUCUACAUGACUUCUUUCUGAUUCAAAUAAAUAUAUUAAAAGAACAAGCAUAUGAGCAUUUAGACAUUAAGAAGUGUUUCUGUUGGGAACGUAUUUUGCGAACAGCCAGCAGGAGGUCUCCAGGACAGAACGGUAUUCAAGCUGACAAAGAUAGUCAAGCAUUUUGAACUGCCUGCCUGGACCCACCAAAAUUGCACAAGAAACUGUAAUAAAUUCCCAGAUCACAUACAUCUCUCCCCCGAAGCCCACCUGAAGAGCAAAGGCUGCCUAAGUGCCUAAGAGACUAGAAUUGUCUAAUACACUUCUACAGUCCUAUAUAAUCAUGCAGCCUCUCACUGGCUCCAUCCAUUUCCCCUUCCUUCAUAUUUAACAGCUCUUUAUAUCACAUAGGUGAUACACCCAGUGAGUAUAUAGCUAAUACUGUAGAUGAAGAGUUCAGACAAACUAGACAGGCCACAACCAACUUAAGUUAGUAACACUUAAAAUGCAAACAAAAUACCUUUACAAUGUCUGGAAUACACUGGCUGCUAUAGUUUUUCAUAUGAAAACUUCUGCUAAACUCUUCAAUCCCAAACCUAAAUGUAUCUUCCAAAAGCUAGGCCUACUCGCUGCACGUUCCCUGGAGCCAGGAGCACUCCAAGCAGUUCAUUAGGAACACAGAACCACUAAUGACAGCAGUCGCCAAACAACAACAA